GACGAACCGUGCGAACGUUAUUCGGAAUCACUGGGCUUAAAGCGCGUGUAGGCGGAUGGGAACGUCGGUCGUUGAAAGCCCCCGGCUCAACCGGGGAAGUGGUGCCGAAACGACCCGUCUGGAGGGACGUAGGGGGAGCUGGAACUUCCGGUGGAGCGGUGAAAUGCGUUGAGAUCGGAAGGAACGCCCGUGGCGAAAGCGAGCUCCUGGACGUCUGCUGACGCUGAGACGCGAAAGCUAGGGUAGCGAACGGG
rnacentral:rRNA from 1 species